UACCCAGACUCCUACGGGAGGCAGCAGUGAGGAAUAUUGGUCAAUGGGCGCAAGCCUGAACCAGCCAAGUCGCGUGAGGGAUGACGGUCCUAUGGAUUGUAAACCUCUUUUGUCGGGGAGCAAGGCCCGCCACGUGUGGCGGGAAGGAGAGUACCCGAAGAAAAAGCAUCGGCUAACUCCCUGCCAGCAGCCGCGGUAAUACGGAGGAUGCGAGCGUUAUCCGGAUUUAUUGGGUUUAAAGGGUGCGCAGGCGGAAUGUCAAGUCAGCGGUAAAAUUUCGGGGCUCAACCCCGUCGUGCCGUUGAAACUGGCGUUCUUGAGUGAGCGAGAAGUAUGCGGAAUGCGUGGUGUAGCGGUGAAAUGCAUAGAUAUCACGCAGAACUCCGAUUGCGAAGGCAGCAUACCGGCGCUCAACUGACGCUCAUGCACGAAAGCGUGGGUAUCGAACAGGAUUAGAUACCCGUGUA
rnacentral:rRNA from 1 species